ACUACAUGCACAGUGGCAUCUCACAUCUCGAAAUAAUGACUUCGAACACUGUGUGCACACUCAGAGUUCUGCUGUUCAAAGAAAAUCAAUUUGUUGGAGAAAAUGCUUGUUAUCAGAGUUGGAGCUGGCUUUUACUUCAGUGGGCUGAAGAUCAAUUCCCUUAUCAUCAAAGUGUCAAAGUUUUUGCAAAAACCUUACGGCAGACGUUACACCAACAAUCUGGGGGUCCACCUUUUAAAUGUUUGCACACACCCAAGAGGAUUCAGGUAAUAGCAUUCACCUGGAAACCAACUAGACCAUUCCACUAACUGUUUACAGGUAUGUGGUACAAAAUUUUAAGAUAAAUACUUAAAACUAAUACAGUCUAGCAUGUUAAAUAAAUAACAUGCAAAUCCACAAUUAUUCAUAAAUGCCCUAUUACUAAACAUUAAUAUCACUUUAUGAGACAAUUAACAUACUAAUACACUAACACAUGACUGGAAUCAGCAUAAAAUAUGAUAAUGAAAUAUGUACAUUACAAAUACAAACAUAUUUCUUUCACUGGCUGUCAAUACCCUGAACACAAUAGAUUGC